CCUGGCGGCAGUAGCGCGGUGGUCCCACCUGACCCCAUGCCGAACUCAGAAGUGAAACGCCGUAGCGCCGAUGGUA
rnacentral:rRNA from 1 species